rnacentral:sRNA from 1 species
AAUCCUGCGGGAGCUUGGGUGAAGGGAGGAAAGAGCAGAGAAUCGCCAAGAAAUCAGGGUGCUCAGCUAUCUGCAGGUGUGGACCCAGGGCCCAAGCCUGUGGCUUCCAGUCAAUCCAGCCCGCACCUCUCCCAUGGGAGGGCCUGAGAGCGCGGGAACAUCCUGGGCCCCUGGGAUCUCAGAGGCUGGACCUUCCUGGGAGACUCAUUGAGUAAGAUGCAGAGGACUCCUUCUUGGGUGGUGGGAGUCCCUGGUCUGCUCUGGGGCCCCUGGCUUUUCCCCAUGAGAAAAAGCAGCUGGAGCUGGGAAGUCCCACCUGGCCAUCGUGCAGAAGGUAAACAACGAGGGUGAGGGUGACCCCUUCUAUGAGGUCCUGGGCCUGGUCACCCUGGAGGACGUGAUCGAGGAGAUCAUCAAGUCGGAGAUCCUGGACGAGUCUGACAUGUACACUGACAACCGAAGCCGGAAGCGGGUGUCUGAGAAGAACAAGCGUGACUUCUCUGCCUUCAAGGAUGCGGACAAUGAGCUCAAAGUGAAAAUCUCCCCG